ACGGAGGGUGCAAGCGUUAAUCGGAAUUACUGGGCGUAAAGCGCACGUAGGCUGUAGUGUAAGUCAGGGGUGAAAUCCCACGGCUCAACCGUGGAACUGCCUUUGAUACUGCACAACUUGAAUCCGGGAGAGGGUGGAGGAAUUCCAGGUGUAGGAGUGAAAGGAGGAGAUAUCUGGAGGAACAGAAGUGGCGAAGGCGGCAACCUGGAAAGGAAAAGACGCUGAGGAGAGAAAGCGUGGGGAGAAAAAAG
rnacentral:rRNA from 1 species